AAACCAUGAUUGAGGCAUUUUCUCAGUAACACCUGAAAACAAUCCCAAGCUUCAUAAAAUGCUUCAUCUACGGCUUGCUUGAAAGUGGAUAUUUCAAAUUUGGCAU
rfam:Lupinus angustifolius cultivar Tanjil chromosome LG11, whole genome shotgun sequence.